UGUGACAAUGAGCUUCUGUGAGUUUGAAAACUCUAAAGACGGAAUAUCAUUAUCCCUGUAUCAGAAUUAAAUCAGCCCGUAUCCUGCAAUUUCAGUACCAAACCUGCCUUUUGACCCAUAGAUUUGACCAAACCUGCUUUUUAAGACAAAUCAUUUCAGCUUCCCCAAUCGCCUCUAUCUCUAUUCUCGUUCUCAACUCUGAGCUUGCCCUCCCCCCCUCUCUCUGCUGCUGCUGCUGCUGCUGCAAACUACAAAAUUUAGAAGAAUCAGAAGUUCAAAACUCAUAUAUUUCAGUUUAUCUAUUUGUCUACAAGAAUUAAAAGUUCAAAACCCAUAUCGGCAUAUGAUUUCAGAUUGUUCAAAAAAUCAAAACCCAUAUCUUUCAGUUUCCAUUGCCCGCUGUUCCAAUUCGGGUUCGCCGUUUGCAAGCUUCAGCGGCUGUCUCUCAACUCUCAAGCUUACCCCCCUCGGCCCUCUCUCUGCAUCUGCUAACUUGGUUGGCAUUGGGCCUUAACAUUUAGUAAGAACAAGGUUCAAGAAACAUGCAUCCUCAGUCAUCAGGUCUCUUCUCUAAAAGAAGAGAGUUGAUGGGAAUGGGUGGAGUAGGCAAAAAGAAAAUAGAGCCAGUAUCACGCAACAUUUGUUGAUAACUACAUCUCUGCUGUCUUCUAAAUUCAUGCUCUCACGAGAAAGUCCUCCAGACAUUCAUGCUGAAAUGUGUAGAGCUCGAGUUACACACAUUAUAUUAACUUUAAAAAAAAUUCAUUGGCUAUAAUGCAAAGUGUCAUGAGAGUUGAGAAAGUCCUUUAGACAUUUCUGCUAUGAGAUGUGUAGAGUUCGACUUACACGCAUGAUAUUAACUUUAACACUCUGGUUAGUGAUUUUUUGUGAGAAAGAACUAAUUAGAUAUCUUUAUAUGAGAAAUGAUGUUUUUUUUUUUUGUUUUUGGGUGAGAACUUGGAGGUCUGGCUGAAGAAUGAUAAUACUGGUUUUUGUUGGGUA